rnacentral:rRNA from 1 species
GAUGAACGCUGGCGGCGUGCCUAAUACAUGCAAGUCGAACGCGCAGCGAAAGGUGCUUGCACCUUUCAAGCGAGUGGCGAACGGGUGAGUAACACGUGGAUAACCUGCCUCAAGGCUGGGGAUAACAUUUGGAAACAGAUGCUAAUACCGAAUAAAACUUAGUAUCGCAUGAUACAAAGUUAAAAGGCGCUACGGCGUCACCUAGAGAUGGAUCCGCGGUGCAUUGGUUAGUUGGUGGGGUAAAGGCUUACCAAGACGAUGAUGCAUAGCCGGGUUGAGGGGCGGAUCGGCCACAUUGGGACUGAGACACGGCCCAAACUCCUACGGGAGGCUGCAGUAGGGAAUCUUCCACAAUGGGCGCAAGCCUGAUGGAGCAACGCCGCGUGUGUGAUGAAGGCUUUCGGGUCGUAAAGCACUGUUGUAUGGGAAGAAAUGCUAAAAUAGGGAAUGAUUUUAGUUUGACGGUACCAUACCAGAAAGGGACGGCUAAAUACGUGCCAGCCGCCGCCGUAA